CAGCCGCCACGGUAAUACAGAGGGUGCAAGCGUUAAUCGGAUUUACUGGGCGUAAAGGGCGCGUAGGUGGUUAUGUAAGUGAGAUGUGAAAUCCCCGGGCUCAACCUGGGAACUGCAUCUUAUACUGCGUAGCUGGAGUGCAGUAGAGGGUAGUGGAAUUUCCGGUGUAGCGGUGAAAUGCGUAGAUAUCGGAAGGAACACCAGUGGCGAAGGCGGCUACCUGGACUGACACUGACACUGAGGCGCGAAAGCGUGGGGAGCAAACAGGAUUAGAGACCCCCGUAGUCCCUGUCUCUUAUAC
rnacentral:rRNA from 1 species